AGAGUUUGAUCCUGGCUCAGGACGAACGCUGGCGGCGUGCUUAACACAUGCAAGUCGAGCGGAAAGGCCCUUCGGGGUACUCGAGCGGCGAACGGGUGAGUAACACGUGAGCAACCUGCCCCUGGCUCUGGGAUAGCUCCGGGAAACCGGGAUUAAUACCGGAUGGUUGCCUGCUCCUGCAUGGGGGCGGGCGGAAAGUU
rnacentral:rRNA from 1 species